GAGUUUGAUCAUGGCUCAGAACGAACGCUGGCGGCAUGCCUAACACAUGCAAGUCGAACGUGAUCCAGGCUUCGGUCUGGUGAAAGUGGCAGACGGGUGAGUAACGCGUGGGAAUCUGCCCUUGGGUUCGGAAUAACAGUUAGAAAUGACUGCUAAUACCGGAUGAAGUCUUCGGACCAAAGAUUUAUCGCCCAGGGAUGAGCCCGCGUAGGAUUAGGUAGUUGGUGGGGUAAUGGCCUACCAAGCCGACGAUCCUUAGCUGGUCUGAGAGGAUGAUCAGCCACACUGGGACUGAGACACGGCCCAGACUCCUACGGGAGGCAGCAGUGGGGAAUAUUGGACAAUGGGCGCAAGCCUGAUCCAGCAAUGCCGCGUGAGUGAUGAAGGCCUUAGGGUUGUAAAGCUCUUUUACCAGGGAUGAUAAUGACAGUACCUGGAGAAUAAGCUCCGGCUAACUCCGUGCCAGCAGCCGCAGU
rnacentral:rRNA from 1 species